UUCUCAACUUCUUAUUUGGCACAAGGAAAUAAAUUGCAUUAGGAGAUGUGGUCCAAAAUAAUUGCUGAUAAAAAUAAUGGUACAUAAUCUAUACAUUUAUAUGAAACUGGGAAAGUAAUAGCAAAAUGAACAAGCUGAUGGGCGUCACACUUCUUAGCCGGGAUAGAUGGCCAGAAGGACAAAUGCUUACUUUGACUGUCUUGUAAAAUGCCAAUAUUUGGAGCCAUAAGAGAAACAAGAUCCAAUCUUCGUGCUACUUGCUGAGCAUUAAUCUCCACUUCUCGUGUCCUUACUAAAAAUUAAUCAUGUUAUACUACUAAAGGUGCAUUGGACAUGUUUAGUUGUUUCUAGGAGACCAUUUAUCUCGUUGAUAGAUGACAAAUUGUAACAGAAUUGAUCUUCAAUGGAUGAAUUCGGUCUCAAUUUCAACUUACCAAUCAACAUCAAUCAAUCAACCAAAACUCCAACCCACAACUUUCAUUCACUUAUGGUUGCUUUCUUCCUUUCUCACCCACAAAGGAAAAAGGCAAAGAGAAGACAAUAUAAGGCAAAUGCACGAAGGAGAUGAAAAAGGAAGUAGCCUCAGUUAUUCUUCUCAACAAAGAGGUAAAACACAUGAUUGAAGUAAUGAGGUAGCCAUAUAUACAUAUAAGUUAGGUAAAUGAGUGGGCUAAAACCAAGGCAACAAAUGGGCCAAGUAAAUAUGAUGGAUAAUAGGCUAAACUAUAUGAGCCUCCAGGAAGGCCACGAGCUACUUUAAUUAAAUUAGGUUGCUUCUAAUGAUCCCAAAUUGUUUUCAAAUCGGGUCAUUUCAUUGAGGUGUCGAUAUUUCAUUUAGUUAUCAAUGUAGAUUGAAAAUUUCAAUGAGUAACAUCAUCGCCUGGGAUUUAUUGGGUAUCAAAGCCCAGUAAAUCUCUACCUUGAUGCCUAAUAAAUCUAUAAGUAAUCAAAACACACAAUUAGUACUUACAUAAUUAAGGUAACUAAUAAAAUUAGGAUCACAGACCUUACCUUGUCUUUUGAGCUUGAAACAUAUACCACACAUGCUUCACCUACUUACCAGGACUAAGGGCUAGAACACCCAAGUAAGAGCAGAUAAUCACAGUGAACAUUCAACAACAAAUAAUCAUGCGAUGGUGAUAUAACAUAGGAUAACUCACAGAUCUUUUCAAAAACAUGUUUAUAUAGAACAACAAAUUAACACUAAGUUAAUCAAUCAAGUGGUUAAAAAACACAUGCAACAAAUGCAUAAAUGACCUUACGAAAAGAUAUCACCUCACUUAUCCUAUCCCAUUCCGUAUUGCUCAUACCUCAAGAACAUAUAUCUUCUCUCAUCUCCUACCAUGCUCACCUCACUUAUCCUAUCCCAUUGGACUUGUCUCGUCCUUUGCCCUUCUUCUUAUCACCCCCAUCACUCUAGUCACUACUCGAAUAACUAAUGUUUUGAGUUUUACCCAAAUUCAUUUGCUUAAUUUUCAUUCUAUUCUUCAUCACAUGUAACUCACAACUCCUCUUAUAUUCAUUUUCAGCCUUAACCUCCAUUUUCUUACUUUUAAGAGAAUUUAUGACAAUCUUUGGUGUUAAAGUGUCCUCACCAUACUUAAUUACAUUCUUAACCCAUCUAUAUGAAUCAGACAUUGAAUUAAGAAAAAUAAUGACCUUAUAAGUUUCAGACACAUUUUCAUCACAAUUAACGAUAUCUUAAACAGGUUUGUUGAAAACAUGUCAUCAAGAUCUUUUGAAAGAUCCAUUUUAAAACUGAAAACCUUUCAAGCAAGUACAACUUAAUUAGGAGUGGACUUAAACAAAUAUAAGUUCUCCAAAUUUUGCCAAAGUUCUUUUAUAGAAUUAAGUUUUUCAUCUUUUCUCAAAGCAGUGUCAAAUAAGUGUAAAAUAAUUGAAGUGUAAUUAAGUUCAUCAUAUUCUUCCUUUUGUUCUUCAGUCAAAUUUGUAGGAAAUUUAUGAUCUAUGACUUUUGAAACUUUUUGUUGAAUUAAAAUUCUCUUCAUCUUUUGUUGCCAAAUUGAAAAAUUCCAUUUCCAUUAAAAAUCUCAACUUCAAAAUGUAAAGACAUUUUUGAGAAAUUAGAACAACCAAAAUGCACAAAUAGAUCACACAAAGUAAUUCUAAGCUGCCAUGUAUGCCAUUCAAAAUUUCUAGGGUUUCUAAAGAUUUAUGAUCUUAGAUAAAAAGAAUGUUCAAACGGGUCAAAUUUAGAUGUUCUAACAAAGUAAUCAAUGCAACACGAAGGUAUGUUAAUAAAAAAGUUCAAAUUCUCAUGUAAUGUAGAUAAUUAAACACAAAAGCAAUUGUUAACUUGUAGUUAAAUCUAACACUUCAAAUAGAUCAAAUAAUUCCUAAAUUUCUAGCACAAGCAAUAGUUACCCUUCACGGUAACCCUAAUCCUAAUGUUAUCCUACUCAAUGACUCGUUAAUGUAGAAAUUUAAAUUGGAAUAAGCCUAUAUCCCAUAGUGGACCAAUUUGUGUCCAUAAAUUAUGAGAGAUGCGAAUUUAUUAAACUUAGAGUCAUCACUAUUCGCCCUAAAGCACUAGCAAUAACAGCAACCAAUCGAGUAAAGAAUUGAAUCACAAACGCAUAGGGGCAAAAUUGUCCAAAUUUCACUAUAUAACAUUAAAUAGAAAACUAACAACUCAAAAUCAUUAGAAGUCACGUAGGAAUAUUUUGCCUGAAGAAACCACAGCUUGAAAUUGCUCGAAUCUCCAUCAUGCGCCUUCGACGGAGUCCUAUACGCGGUCAACCCAAGAGUACUUCCACCUGCAGAGUCCGCACAUGGUCUUGAUUUCUCCACCAGGUCAAUCGUUUGGCCAGAAAACGUGUUUAAAGCUCUGGGCAUAUUUUUCAAAAUCUGGAUUGCUUUUAUUCUUUUUUUUUUUUUUUUUUUGUUGAAUUUCAGACCAAUUUUUGGCCGAAAAUCCACCACCAACAUGGCAUUGAUACCAAAUUUAAUGGAAUUGAUCUUCAAUGGAUGGAUUCCAGGCUCAUUUUCAACUCACUAAUCUAAAUCAACCAAAACUCCAAACCACAACUUUCAUUCACUUAUGGUUGCUCUCUUCAUUUCUCACCCACGAAGGAAAAGGUUAUGGCGAUGAUUUGCAAGCCACAAAGGCAAAGAGAAGACAAUAGAAGGUAAAGGCACGAAGGAUAUGAAACCCAAGAGCACUUCCACCUACAGAGUCCGUAUGUGGUCUUGGUUUCCCCACUAGGUCAGUCGUCUGGCUGAAAAUGGGUUUAAAGCUCUGGGCAGAUUUUUCAAAAUCUGGAUUGUUUCUAUUGCUUUUUUUUUUUUUUUUGCCAAAUUUCAGACCAAUUUCAGGUCAAUUUUUGGCCGAAAAUCCACCACCAAUGUGGCAUUGAUACCAAAUGUAACGGAAUUGAUCUUCAAUGGAUGGAUUCCAGGCUCAAUUUCAACUAACUAAUCUACAUCAACCAAAACUCCAACCUACAACUUUCAUUCACUUAUGGUUGCUCUCUUCAUUUCUCACCCACAAGGAAAAGGUUAUGGCAGUGAUUUACAAGCCACAAAGGUAAAGAGAAGACAAUAGAAGGCAAAUGAACGAAGGAGAUGAAACCCAAGAGCACUUCCACCUACAGAGUCUGUAUGUGGUCUUGGUUUCUCCACUAGGUUAGUCGUCUGGCCGGAAAACGGGUUUAAAGCUUUGGACAGAUUUUUCAAAAUCUGGAUUGUUUCUGUUCCUUUUUCUGCUAAUUUUUAGACCAAUUUCAGGUCAAGUUUUGGUUGAAAAUCCACCACCAACGUGGCAUUGAUACCAAAUGUAAUAGAAUUGAUCUUCAAUGGAUGGAUUCCAAGCUCAGUUUCAACUUAUUAAUCUACAUCAAUCGAAACUCCAACCCACAACUUUCAUUCACUUAUGGUUGCUCUCUUCAUUUCUCACCCACAAGGAAAAGCUUAUGGCAAUGAUUUGCAAGCCACAAAGGCAAAGAAAAGACAAUAGAAGGCAAAGGCAUGAAGGAAAUGAAAAGGGAAGCAUAAUCGGUUAUUCUUCCCAACAAAAGGGCAAAACAAAUGAUUGAAGUGAUAAGGAGGUAGCCAUAUAUACAUAUAGGUUAGGUAAAUAAGUGGGCCAAAACCAAGGCAACGAAUGGGCCAAGUAAAUAUGAUGGAUAAUGGGCCAAACCUAUAUGAGCCUCCAUGAAUAAAUAGGAUGGGCCAUGAGCAACUCUAAUUAAAUUAGGUUGCUUCCGACAAUCCCAAAUAGUUUUCAGGUUGGAUCAUUUUAUUGAGGUGUCGAUAUUUAAUUCAGUCGUCAUUGUCGAUUGAAAAUUCCAACAAGUAACAUCAUCGUCCGAAAUUUAUUGAAUAUCAAAACCCAACACAAAUAAUGUCCGUGCAAGUAUUGUCUUCAAAUAUAUAUGUUCCACUAUAAAGUGUUUCACAUUGCAUUCUUAGGUAGACAAUUAACCAUGGCAGCCCCUUUUUGAAUUAACUCUUUGACAACAUUAUUGUAUUUUGUUUUUGCUUUUGUAAGAGCCAUGUAAUAAAGUAGUUUUUUCCUCUAGGUAUCGAAUUAGUCAUUUACGAGCAAGACUUGUGUUUAUUAAAAGUCAUCUAGUUGUGGUGGUGGUUCUGCGAUUUAUGUUAAUUUUUUUAUCAAGUUGUUUAUGAUUUUUGUGAAUUAAUUUUUCUAAGGUGGUAGUGUAUAUGUCGUCAUUGGAGUGAUUGCAUUUGUGAAGGUACUGUUUGGCCAAUGGUGGGAUAGAUUAAGAUGGUGUGGG
rnacentral:lncRNA from 1 species